rnacentral:tRNA from 1 species
GCGCGCUUGGCUCAGCGGUAGAGCACCGCCUUCACACGGCGGGGGUCCCAGGUUCGAAUCCUGGAGCGCGCACCA